AACAGUGGUCGGCAAACUGCGGC
rnacentral:miRNA from 1 species